UACGGGGGGAGCAAGCGUUGUUCGGAUUUACUGGGCGUAAAGGGCGCGUAGGCGGUCAGCACAGGUCAGUUGUGAAAUCUCCGGGCUUAACUCGGAAAGGUCAACUGAUACUGUGCGACUAGAGUGCAGAAGGGGCAACUGGAAUUCUCGGUGUAGCGGUGAAAUGCGUAGAUAUCGUAAGGAAGACCAGUGGCGAAGGCGAGUCUCUGGACAGUUCCUGACACUGAGGCGCGAAGGCCAGGGGAGCAAACGGG
rnacentral:rRNA from 1 species